GGAGAGGUGGCCGAGUGGUUUAAGGCAGCGGUCUUGAAAACCGCCAUACGUUAAUAGCGUAUCGUGGGUUCGAAUCCCACCCUCUCCGCCA
rnacentral:tRNA from 1 species